CGGCGGGGGCGGUGGACUACGACUCCCAGGAAGCCUCGCGCGGGCGAGCCCCGAACCCGAGGACGCGGCGAGCGCGGCGCCCGGCCCUCUCCGGCAAGGACUGUCAAUGGAGGCGCGGGUGGUGGGAGCAAGAACAUGGCUGCACCUGGGGCCUGCGCGGCCGCCUGGGUGGGGGAGGGGAGCCGGGGCACGGGGGCGCAAAUCUAGGCCGGGGGUAGCCCCCGCCCCCUCACUGCCCCGAUGCAGCCGGCCUCAGCCACCGUCCAGGACUCGCACCCACUCUUGCACCCCAGAUUCCCUGCCGAUUGCGAGGCCGGAACUCGGCAGAGGCCGGGGAGCCCCAGCCGGCCUGCCGCUCUCGGUGCUCCGCCAAGGGACUUCCUCCGCGCUGCACCACCCUUCGGGACACAAAGAACUUCUGUUAGUUUUGAAAAGCUUGCCUCAAAAGCGUCCGAAAGAGACUGUUGCCCCAACUUUGGACGGGCGACGGGAGGGGACUCUCCUGUUUUUAUUUACCGCCCCUCACCCCAGGCUUGCUUUCCUCACGCCCCCUCACUCAACAUUUAGAAGGAAAGUUGAGGGAAAGCCACCGAGUGAGAGCAGAAAACCUGCCGUGUAGCCCGUUUUGUUCUGUCAACCGCGAAGAAAGGUUACCGAAACCUCUCCCCCCGCGACUAAUUCUUUUGCUUCUCAACUUGAGCUCUCGAAUUUCGAAAAGGAUGAGACAUUGCUGUUCACCUAAGCGAAACUUCAAAGUUUACCAAACUCGAGCCCCGAGGGCUUAGACAGUUCUGUAAAGCACAAGAUCGAGUGAUUUUGCGAUUUUUACACCCCAGCGGAGAUGGGGGGACCACGCCGGCCAUCCUCCCCCUCCCCCUCCUCCUCGGUAGGUGGCGACCACGGCGCUUUUUCCAGCCUUUGUCGCUGGAAAGAAAACUUUCCGAGCAGCCAGGCUUUUGAUGUAGGUCCAAGACCUUCCCUUUGACUCUUCGUUCCAGAUUGGCGUUCCCCAUCUUUCUUGCAAUAGACCGCACCCAUAAGGCAGCCGAAUCUAGAAUUUCCAUGCUGGGAUUCUUUAAGAUAGAGGGAGACUUUAAAGAUCCCUGCAGAAGCGGUCCGAUUGCAGAUUUCCACAUUUUUACGAUUUCCCCUGCAACGUUUUUACAGGCAUUUUGUCCCCGCCUAACCCGAUUGUGACUCUCCUUUGUCGAGUCUCUCCAAAAGCGUUCAUUUCGUUUUCAUGAAAAGUUUUCUUUUUGCACUCGUAUUUCAUUAACAUAUUGGACUAUUGAAUUCCGUAUUCCCAGUAGCACGUAAAACUGACAUCUAUGUAAGGAACAAACCAAAUUUUGAGAAAGUCUGCAAUUGAGCUGAUGGGAGCAGUCAGCCUUCCAGGGACAAACAUUCAGCCGCUGUGAGCACCGGGGGAAUCAUGCUGCUAUAUGUGAGCAGCCCCGUGGAGAGGCCCAGAUGCUGGGAAAGUGAAGCCAUUGGCCAACAGCCACGUGAGCGAGCUUGGGAACAGAUUCUCCUGCCCCGAUUCCAGGAGGUGUCUGCUACCCAACCAUGGCUGGAGUGCAAGCUCCUGGGAUGCUCACAGCCAGAAGCACUCCUCCAGCUGCUCCUGGAUUCCUGACCCUCAGAACCAAUACUAGACAGCAGGAGGCUCCGGGUCUUGGCAAAGCACGUAGCUGAUGCUUGUUUCGUGGCCAGAUGAGCCAACGAAUUGUCUCUCCCGUGGGCUCGCGUCCUUUUGGGAAGACACCAAAGUGGUCACUUCUACCUCCCUCCCCUGACAGCCAACCCAGGAGGCCGUGUCUCACAAACAUACUGAAGUCACACCAGGGAACUCCCCAACCACUGCAGUCCCUUCCCUGUUUGCAGAUUUUCUUCCAACUGUUCUCUUCCUUUGGAUCCAGGGAACCAAGGU